GACGAACGCUGGCGGCGUGCUUAACACAUGCAAGUCGAACGGGAAGGCCCUGCUUUUGUUGGGUGCUCGAGUGGCGAACGGGUGAGUAACACGUGAGUAACCUGCCCUUGACUUUGGGAUAACUUCAGGAAACUGGGGCUACUACCGGCUAGGAGCUCCUGCUGCAUGGUGGGGGUUGGAACGUUUCGGCGGUUGGGGAUGGACUCGCGGCUUAUCAGCUUGUUGGUGGGGUAGUGGCUUACCAAGGCUUUGACGGGUAGCCGGCCUGAGAGGGUGACCGGCCACAGUGGGACUGAGAUACGGCCCAGACUCCUACGGGAGGCAGCAGUGGGGAAGAUGGCACAAUGGGCGGAAGCCUGAUGCAGCAACGCCGCGUGCGGGAUGACGGCCUUCGGGUUGUAAACCGCUUUCGCCUGUGACGAAGCGUGAGUGACGGUAAUGGGUAAAGAAGCACCGGCUAACUACGUG
rnacentral:rRNA from 1 species